rnacentral:rRNA from 1 species
AUUGAACGCUGGCGGCAUGCCUUACACAUGCAAGUCGAACGGCAGCGGACCUUCGGGUGCCGGCGAGUGGCGAACGGGUGAGUAAUAUAUCGGAACGUACCUUUCAGUGGGGGAGUAACGUAGCGAAAGUUACGCUAAUACCGCAUAUUCUGUGAGCAGGAAAGCAGGGGAUCGCAAGACCUUGCGCUGAUUGAGCGGCCGAUAUCAGAUUAGCUAGUUGGUGAGGUAAAGGCUCACCAAGGCGACGAUCUGUAGCGGGUCUGAGAGGAUGAUCCCGCCACACUGGAACUGAGACACGGUCCAGACUCCUACGGGAGGCAGCAGUU